AUUGAACGCUGGCGGCAUGCUUUACACAUGCAAGUCGAACGGCAGGCACGGGGGCAACCCUGGUGGCGAGUGGCGAACGGGUGAGUAACACAUCGGAACGUGCCCAGUUGUGGGGGAUAACCUAUCGAAAGGUAGGCUAAUACCGCAUGAGCUCGGCGAGAGGAAAGCGGGGGACCCAGCGAUGGGCCUCGCGCGACUGGAGCGGCCGAUGUCCGAUUAGCUAGUUGGNGGGGUAAAGGCUUACCAAGGCGACGAUCGGUAGCUGGUCUGAGAGGAUGAUCAGCCACACUGGGACUGAGACACGGCCCAGACUCCUACGGGAGGCAGCAGCGGGGAAUUUGGACAAUGGGGCAACCUGA
rnacentral:rRNA from 1 species